GCGCGGCUCACCGGGACUGACCGCCCCUGAGCCCUCGGGUGCGAGAAGCUGCUGCCAGGCUCGUCCAGCUUGAGCACCGUGGGCAGCGACCGGAAGCCGCCGGUGCCGUUCCGCUAGCCUGGCUCCGGCUCCUCUUCCACUGCCACCGCGGGGUCUGCAGGACGCUGCUCUCCGGUCCAGACAGCCUGCCCUCAGGCCCCGCUUCUGCUGCGCCCCGGCAGCUGCAGCCCAGCCCGGCUGCGGCUGGGAAGGGACAGCGACAGCAUCAGCUCUGUGUCCCCAGGCCGUGUCUCGCCCUUCCCGCGAUCUUUAUUUCCAUGCCGCGUCCAUUUGCUGCUCCCCUAGCCCAUAGAGCCCAUAGUAUUGACUGUCUGCAGGUGCUGAUAGUACUUAGCUACAGCGACGUGGGUUACCUGGGUUCAAACAGUGUGGGCAGCAUGGGUAUUCUGCCCCUCUGCCCAUUCAGAACAAUUUUGGGGGCUCGUCCGGGAUCUGGCCACGCCUGAAGAGGGACUGAAGAUGGGACGGCCGCUCGCCCUUCGGACCUCCGGGACAGCUGGCGAAGCGGGAGCAGCCUGGGACCGGCAACGAGGAGGAGCGCCGGAGGUUCUAAAGACUACCUGGAAGGAGAGGAAGUCACUAGAAAAUAUCUAAAAACCAUUGGACAAACCCUAGAAAAUCUCAGAAAGAAAGGCUAUCUUCCUCAAACUUCCCCUUGGGAUGCAAAUGUGCAUAAUAUCAAUCCUGGAGAUUGGGUAUUGAUCAAAACAUGGACUAAUACCCCGCUGACCCUGAAGUUUGAAGGUCCCUACCAAGUACUGUUAACAACUCACACAGCAAUGUGCACUAAAGAAUAAGGAUGGACCCACAUCA